rnacentral:rRNA from 1 species
GUUGUAUGGUUAAGUGACUAAGCGUACACGGUGGAUGCCUGGGCAGUCAGAGGCGAUGAAGGACGUACUAACUUGCGAUAAGCGCAGAUAAGGCAGUAAGAGCCGUUUGAGUCUGCGAUUUCCGAAUGGGGAAACCCAACUGCAUAAGCAGUUACUGUUAACUGAAUACAUAGGUUAACAGAGCAAACCGGGGGAACUGAAACAUCUAAGUACCCCGAGGAGAAGAAAUCAACCGAGAUUCCGGUAGUAGCGGCGAGCGAACCUGGAUUAGCCCUUAAGCGCUCGGUGAAGUAGGUGAACAAGCUGGAAAGCUUGGCGAUACAGGGUGAUAGCCCCGUAACCGACGCUUCAUCGAGCGUGAAAUCGAGUAGGGCGGGACACGUGAUAUCCUGUCUGAAUAUGGGGGGACCAUCCUCCAAGGCUAAAUACUCCUGACUGACCGAUAGUGAACCAGUACCGUGAGGGAAAGGCGAAAAGAACCCCUGUGAGGGGAGUGAAAUAGAACCUGAAACCGUGUACGUACAAGCAGUAGGAGCACCUUCGUGGUGUGACUGCGUACCUUUUGUAUAAUGGGUCAGCGACUUAUAUUCAGUGGCAAGGUUAACCGUAUAGGGGAGCCGUAGCGAAAGCGAGUCUUAACUGGGCGCUCAGUCUCUGGAUAUAGACCCGAAACCGGGUGAUCUAGCCAUGGGCAGGUUGAAGGUUGAGUAACAUCAACUGGAGGACCGAACCGACUAAUGUUGAAAAAUUAGCGGAUGACUUGUGGCUAGGGGUGAAAGGCCAAUCAAACUCGGAGAUAGCUGGUUCUCCCCGAAAGCUAUUUAGGUAGCGCCUCGGACGAAUACUACUGGGGGUAGAGCACUGUUAAGGCUAGGGGGUCAUCCCGACUUACCAACCCUUUGCAAACUCCGAAUACCAGUAAGUACUAUCCGGGAGACACACGGCGGGUGCUAACGUCCGUCGUGGAGAGGGAAACAACCCAGACCGCCAGCUAAGGUCCCAAAGUAUUGCUAAGUGGGAAACGAUGUGGGAAGGCUCAGACAGCUAGGAUGUUGGCUUAGAAGCAGCCAUCAUUUAAAGAAAGCGUAAUAGCUCACUAGUCGAGUCGGCCUGCGCGGAAGAUGUAACGGGGCUAAGCAAUACACCGAAGCUGCGGCAAUAUCUUUUAGAUAUUGGGUAGGGGAGCGUUCUGUAAGCCGUUGAAGGUGAAUCGUAAGGUUUGCUGGAGGUAUCAGAAGUGCGAAUGCUGACAUGAGUAACGACAAAGGGGGUGAAAAACCUCCUCGCCGGAAGACCAAGGGUUCCUGUCCAACGUUAAUCGGGGCAGGGUGAGUCGACCCCUAAGGUGAGGCCGAAAGGCGUAAUCGAUGGGAAACGGGUUAAUAUUCCCGUACUUCUGACUAUUGCGAUGGGGGGACGGAGAAGGCUAGGUGGGCCAGGCGACGGUUGUCCUGGUUCAAGUGCGUAGGCUUGAGAGUUAGGUAAAUCCGGCUCUCUCUAAGGCUGAGACACGACGUCGAGCUGCUACGGCAGUGAAGUCAUUGAUGCCAUGCUUCCAGGAAAAGCCUCUAAGCUUCAGAUAGUCAGGAAUCGUACCCCAAACCGACACAGGUGGUCGGGUAGAGAAUACCAAGGCGCUUGAGAGAACUCGGGUGAAGGAACUAGGCAAAAUGGUACCGUAACUUCGGGAGAAGGUACGCUCUUGAUGGUGAAGUCCCUCGCGGAUGGAGCUGACGAGAGUCGCAGAUACCAGGUGGCUGCAACUGUUUAUUAAAAACACAGCACUGUGCAAAAUCGCAAGAUGACGUAUACGGUGUGACGCCUGCCCGGUGCCGGAAGGUUAAUUGAUGGGGUUAGCGCAAGCGAAGCUCUUGAUCGAAGCCCCGGUAAACGGCGGCCGUAACUAUAACGGUCCUAAGGUAGCGAAAUUCCUUGUCGGGUAAGUUCCGACCUGCACGAAUGGCGUAAUGAUGGCCACGCUGUCUCCACCCGAGACUCAGUGAAAUUGAAAUCGCUGUGAAGAUGCAGUGUACCCGCGGCUAGACGGAAAGACCCCGUGAACCUUUACUACAGCUUGGCACUGAACAUUGAACCUACAUGUGUAGGAUAGGUGGGAGGCUAUGAAGACGUGACGCCAGUUGCGUUGGAGCCGUCCUUGAAAUACCACCCUUGUAUGUUUGAUGUUCUAACUUAGACCCAUUAUCUGGGUUGAGGACAGUGCCUGG